AUUGAACGCUGGCGGCAGGCCUAACACAUGCAAGUCGAGCGGCAGCACGGGUACUUGUACCUGGUGGCGAGCGGCGGACGGGUGAGUAAUGCCUAGGAAUCUGCCUGGUAGUGGGGGAUAACGUCCGGAAACGGGCGCUAAUACCGCAUACGUCCUACGGGAGAAAGUGGGGGAUCUUCGGACCUCACGCUAUUAGAUGAGCCUAGGUCGGAUUAGCUAGUUGGUGAGGUAAUGGCUCACCAAGGCGACGAUCCGUAACUGGUCUGAGAGGAUGAUCAGUCACACUGGAACUGAGACACGGUCCAGACUCCUACGGGAGGCAGCAGUGGGGAAUAUUGGACAAUGGGCGAAAGCCUGAUCCAGCCAUGCCGCGUGUGUGAAGAAGGUCUUCGGAUUGUAAAGCACUUUAAGUUGGGAGGAAGGGCAGUUACCUAAUACGUGAUUGUUUUGACGUUACCGACAGAAUAAGCACCGGCUAACUCUGUGCCAGCAGCCGCCGCCG
rnacentral:rRNA from 1 species